rnacentral:rRNA from 1 species
UACGGGGGGGGCAAGCGUUGUUCGGAAUUACUGGGCGUAAAGGGCUCGUAGGUGGCCAACUAAGUCAGACGUGAAAUCCCUCGGCUUAACCGGGGAACUGCGUCUGAUACUGGAUGGCUGGAGUUUGGGAGAGGGAUGCGGAAUUCCAGGUGUAGCGGUGAAAUGCGUAGAUAUCUGGAGGAACACCGGUGGCGAAAGGCG